rnacentral:rRNA from 1 species
GUAGGGUGCGAGCGUUAAUCGGAAUUACUGGGCGUAAAGCGUGCGCAGGCGGUUUAGUAAGACAGGCGUGAAAUCCCCGGGCUCAACCUGGGAACUGCGCUUGUGACUGCUAAGCUAGAGUACGGCAGAGGGGGGUGGAAUUCCACGUGUAGCAGUGAAAUGCGUAGAGAUGUGGAGGAACACCGAUGGCGAAGGCAGCCCCCUGGGCCGAUACUGACGCUCAUGCACGAAAGCGUGGGUAGCAAAC